UGGGGAAUUUUCCGCAAUGGGCGAAAGCCUGACGGGGCGAAUGCCGCGUGGAGGUGGAAGGCCUACGGGUCGCCAACUUCUUUUCUCGGAGAAGAAACAAUGACGGUAUCUGAGGAAUAAGCAUCGGCUAACUCUGUGCCAG
rnacentral:rRNA from 1 species